GGAGGGUGCGAGCGUUGUUCGGAAUCACUGGGCGUAAAGGGCGUGCAGGCGGUUGAUUAAGUCUAGGGUGAAAGCUCCCGGCUCAACUUGGAGAGGUCCUUGGAUACUGAUGAACUUGAGGGAUGCAGAGGAAAGUGGAAUUCCCGGUGUAGCGGUGAUAUGCGUAGAUAUCGGGAGGAACACCAGUGGCGAAGGCGGUUUUCCGGGCAUUUCCUGACGCUGAGACGCGAAAGCGUGGGGAGCGAACGGGAUUAGAUACCCCGGUAGUCCUAGCUGUAAACGAUGGACACUAGAUGUUCCCGCGUUUAUGCGGGAGUGUCGUAGCUUACGCGUUAAGUGCCCCGCCUGGGGAGUACGGUCGCAAGGCUG
rnacentral:rRNA from 1 species